GGGCCCUUAGCUCAACUGGCAGAGCAAUGGACUUUUAAUCCGUGGGUUCAGGGCUCGAUCCCCUGGGGGCUCA
rnacentral:tRNA from 1 species